AACACAACUCGUAGGUCUACUCUUUAUGUACAGUACAUGACUAUUGUACUUGUUAAUGUUAUCUUAGAUUCAGCCGCUCGUCCAUUAUCUUUUGAUUUGCGUAGAACCAGUCCUGUGGACCCUGCGUUCACUGCCUUUUCAAGAGAUCCAGUCGGUAGUCGGUUUGUCGUUCCGGAGCUCCGUUGAUCAUGUAGGGGUUUCAUUUGACUUUUCACUACCAAGAUGUGGUGGUUUUCUCGGUCAUGAAAACGAUCUAUCGGAGGUGAACAGGAAAGGUCCAGCACCAGCUACGCUAUUGCCAGUAAGAACAUCGCAACGGGGCACGUGAUGCUGGGCCGUCCCGCUAUCCUUCGUCCAGUUGGCCUCAACGUCCAUAUUUGAUCACCCCGACCUGAAAUCCAGUGGCCAGUGCAGCGCAGCAAAUUGUUGGCCUGUCACUCCGGCAGCUACGUUGCAAGAACCUUCUGGCCAACCUGUUCUUGCGCACAAAGUGGAACAUCAGCAGGAGGUUGCUUCCUUGUUUGCCUCAUGCUGGGCGUUCUCAAGCUCUAGCAUCCAGAGCUGCCUCAGGGGUGCAACUUGCCUCAUCGGCGUCGACCAGUCUGUCGUUUCUUUGGAGUGGCUGCGAUCCCUGUGCCACCGUGAUUGUCUCCAUUCGGCCAGUGUGUUGUCAUGCUACGCUACAGUGCUGUGUCCGCUGUCAUUCCCUGUGAAUGGUCCCUGCGCCCCGUCUCACCAAAGCCUGAGUGUUCAAAUCAGGUUUGCAUUGCUUUCGCUUGGCUGAGGCCUCCGACUCGUCGUACCCUGCCGAGCCCGUCUUUUCUCGAGUGCUGUCUUCAUCCCUGUCCGUUGAUAGUUCCAGUUGCUGCUGUACUAACUCCCACAUAUUCCAUCCCCAGUUACGUCGGAAGCUUUUCAGUAUAUAUAUUUUUUUAUUUUUGUAUUUUCUGUAGAGCAUACCUUUGUGUUUGUGUCGGUCCUGUACGAUUCCACCAGUCGGGGUGGUGCGCCUCUUCACAUGCGUAGGCUCAGACCUUUCUCACUACAAGUAUGUCUAUUGUAACAAAAGUCUUUGCACGGGCCUGUUGACAUGGAUUUCUCAUACCUUACUGUUCACUAGUUGAGGAAAUAGAGAAGUGAAAAUCUGAACAGGAAUUUUUAUUUAAAUCUGUAUUUCUCUUUCUCUCAAGGCAUUACAAAAUGUCUAUAUUAUUUAUAGCUCUUCUUUCACCGGAGGAUGUAGAGUAGACGGUUCGAUACCGGAACGCUUUGACAGCCAAAUUUGUAUAGACCCAAACCGAUCAUCAGCGUUGAUUUUUCACUUGAAAUAUGUUUGUGGA